AUGUAAAACAUUUUUAUUUAUGAAAAUUUUUAAACAUAAAUAAAAAAAAAACUAACUGCAUUAAUUGUACUGUAUAUGAUGCAGUUUUUCUCAAUCGUGCAAUGAAGAAUUUUAUGGCAUGUGUUGAAAUUUUCUUCCAAUCUAUACAAUCUGGUUUCACAGCCCAUUUUAGAAAAUUGCUUUUGAAGUGAUGAUCUUUGUGAAGAUCAAUAAUCGACGAGUCUAACAAUGGAAGUAGUAGCUUCCUCUUCUUCUUCUUCUCCAUUCCCCACUCCCACCAGAGUGAAAACAUCAAAGUAUGAUGUUUUCAUCAGUUUUAGAGGCGAGGAUACUCGCAAUGCUUUCACAGCCCAUCUUUUUGAGGCUCUGCGCAUCAGAAAAGUUUACACCUACUUAGACGAGGUCACUCUCAAGAGAGGAGACGAAAUCUCACCUGCGCUACUUCAAGCAAUUCAGCAAUCCAAGAUUUCUGUCAUCGUUUUCUCGGAAAAUUACGCCGACUCCUCAUGGUGUUUGGACGAGCUUGUGAAAAUUAUGGAAUGCAAGGAGAUUCUUGGGCAGCAAGUGGUUCCCAUUUUUUACCAUGUUGAUCCUUCGUGUGUGAGGAAACAAAAGGGGACUUAUGAGCUUGAACAGCAAUUUAAAGAUAAGAUGGAGAAGUUGCAGAUUCAUGGGCAGGCAUGGAGGAAUGCUUUGACGAAAGCUGCCGAUUUGUCUGGUUGGAGUACUCACCAGAUCAGGUCUGAAUCCAAGUUGAUCGAAGCAAUAGUUGAAGAUAUUAUCAAGAAAUUGAAAUCUAUGUCUUCUUCAAGUGCUUGGUUGGAGCUAGCUGGAAUACAAAGACGCAUGAAGCAAGUUGAAUCAAUGUUGUGCCUAAACUCAUCCAGUGAUCGGGUGAUAGUGGUGGGCCUUUGGGGGAUGGGGGGUAUAGGCAAGACAACCCUUGCUCGGGCUGUGUUUGACAAGAUUUCUCAUCAGUUUGAAGGUUGUUGCUUUCUUUCAAAUGUUAGAGAAGAAUGGGACCAUGGACGAAAAAAGUAUGAUUUACAGAAAAAGCUUUUCUUGGAGUUAUUGGAUGAAGAAAGUAAAAGUAUGAAAAUGCUAUCCUUUUUUGACAGAGAUAGACUCCUUUAUAAGAAGGUUCUCAUAGUUCUUGACGAUGCUAAUGAUUCAGAGCAAUUGGACUUUUUGACUCGAGAUGGGGAAUGGUUUGGGUUGGGGAGUAGAAUCAUCAUAACAACAAGAGAUAUGCAGUUUCUUAAGAAUCGAGUUGAUGAGAUAUACAAAGUUGAGGGAUUAAGUUUUGAUGAAGCUUUCCAACAUUUCCAAAAGAAUGCUUUAAGAAGAAAAAUUCCAAUAGCUGAGUUUACAGAGCUUUCAAUAAGGGCAGUAAAGUAUGCAGAAGGUAUUCCACUAGUUCUUCAAGUAUUGAUGGGUUCCCUAUUUAGUUAUAAUAGUAAAGGGGAAUGGAGAAGUUUACUGGAUGACUUAAAAUAUCCGGCCAAUGAAAAAAUUCAUGAUGUGCUAAAGAUAAGUUACGAUGGUCUAACUAGAAAAGAAAAAGAUGUCUUUCUUGACAUUGCAUGCUUUUUCAAAGGAAAGGAAAGAAGUUACGCGGAAGGAAUACUUAAAGGUUGUGAUUCCUUUGUUGGCAUGAGAAUAGAUAAUCUGGUUGAUAAGUCUCUCAUAACUAUCGAGAAACGCAGAAAUUCGCUUUGGAUGCAUGAUUUGGUACAAGAAAUGUGCUGGGAAAUUGUUUUCCAACAAUCCAUUAACAAGCCUGGAAAGCGUAGUAGAUUAUGGAAUCCUGAUGAUGUUUAUCAUGUCUUCAAAAAUAAUAAAGUCUCUGCUAUGGUUGAAGGAAUAUUCUUGGAUGUCUCUAAGAUUAAAGGAUUAAACUUGAGCCCUGCAGUGUUCCUGGAGGCAAACAAUCUGAGAUUGCUCAAAAUUCAUAAUUCUAAAAGAACCAACGAUAGCAAAUUAUGUUUCCCUCAAGGUCUUCAAUCUCUUCCAGAUGCACUUAGGCUUCUUUACUGGAGAGAGUAUCCAUUCAAAACUUUGCCAUUAAGUUUUGAUCCUGAGAAGCUUGUUCGACUUAGAAUGCCACACAGCCAGGUUGAGCAACUUUGGGAUGGAAUCCAGCAUUUGCCGAACUUGAAGCUUAUCGAUCUCAAAUACUCAGAGAACCUGACCUGUAUUCCAAAUCUGUCUCAAGCUCCUAAUCUUGAAGUGCUGGAUCUCGACUAUUGCAUAAAUUUGCUCCCUCUUGCAGCACAUUUCAAAAAUCUUGGAAAGCUUACUUGUUUGUAUAUGAAUCAUUGUGCAAAGCAAAGAAGUCUUCCCAACAUAAGAUCUCUUGAAACUCUUGAACUUAGGGGCUGCCAGAAUCUUAAAAAUAUUCCAGAAUUAAAGGGAAAUAUGACUAACUUAGAUUUAAGUAACACUCCAAUAGAAGAAUUGUCUUCAUCUAUUGGUUCCUUGGACCAACUCCAAUCAUUGAAACUUGAGAAGUGUACAAACCUUAAGAGUCUUCCUGCAAGCAUUUGUCACUGGCAAUACUUGACUGAAAUUAAUCUAUAUGGCUGCUCGUCUCUCGAACAUUUACCAGAUCUUCCAAGGACUCUAAGGUCGUUAGAUGUGAGUGGAGCAGCAAUAGAUCAACUGCCCACAUCAAUUGAAUCUCUUCCUUAUCUCAUCUUCUUUCUUUUAAGGGAUUGCAAAAGGCUUCAAAGUCUGCCAACAUGCAUGUACAAGUUAAAGAAACUUGGUUGGCUUAAUCUGCGUGGUUGCUCUAAAAUUGAGAACUUCCCAGACAUUUUAGAGCCUAUGGAGAAAUUAUUUUACCUUAAUUUAUCUGGAACAGGUAUUAUAGAGUUACCUUCUUCCUCAGUUAAAAACCUACCUAAUCUUAGUUUCUUGAACUUGGAAAUGUGUGAAAAUCUCAAGUUUCUCCCGUUGCCUGAGCUUCCAUUCUGUCUAAACAAUCUAAAUGCACAAGGUUGCACAUCAUUGGAGACUCUAUCACUUUCAAGGAUCGAAGUCACAAAACCUUAUGGCCGUUCCGGAUUCAGUAAUAAUAAGUUCAUCUCUUUUUUGAAUUGCCUAAAGUUGGACCAGAACGCACUCAACAUCAUAAUAGCUGAUGCGCAGAUUAUAAUUAUUUACAUGGCAAGUCGAAUAUUGUCAACUGAAAUCUGCCACUAUCAUCUCUAUGCUUGUAUUUGCUAUCCCGGCAACAAAAUUCCGAAGUGGUUCAACUAUAUUGCAGAUUCUUCAGAGGCUGUCCAAGUUCCUUCGAAUUGGCACAAUUCCAACUUCUUGGGUUUUGCUGUAUGCUUUGUAGCUGAAUUUGAGGAGCUCAAUGAAUCUUAUGGAAGUUUACAAUUUCUAUUUGAGUUUCAAGUGAUGACCAAGUCAGGUGAAUGUCACAAAUCCAGACGUAUUUUGGAGAUACGUUCCUAUGAAUACUAUGAGACAGCAAGUAAUAUAGGAACUCAAAUUCUUAAUUCAGAUCAUGUAUUCAUGUUGUACGAGUACAAAAGUUUUCUUGCUUGUCAAGAAAUAGAAGAAGCUGAUAACAUGACAGGAUUCUCAUUUUCAAUCCAUCCAAUCGGUGGGGAUGAUGUAACUGCUUGUAGAGUGAAGACAUGUGGUAUCCGCAUGUUGUAUCUCGAAGAAGCUCAGGAAUUUGGUCUCCUGACUAAACCUGAUUAUGAUUGGAAAUCAAGAGUGGAAGAAGAAGAAGAUGAUUAUGAUGAUGAUGAUGAUAAUGAUCAUCAUCAUAAUAAUUCUACAGAAGAACAUCAUGUUUAUGAAUUCUUUUGCAACUUUGGUUCCAAUGAUUGUGAAAAUAAAAUCAGAGACUGCUGUGAACCGAGUGAAAAAAGAAAAGUAGGUGAUGAUGAAUCAAAAAUAAGUGAUGUAGAUGACUCUGCUUUGAAAAAGAAAGAUUGUGAUACACCAAGUACAAGUAUUGCUGCUAUAGAUUAUGUUGAAGGAGGAGAAGCUCUUCUUAGCUUAAACUGGUCUAAACAAAAAAAAUGUCAUGGAACUCUUAACAGUGUCUUUACUGAUGCAAAAGAGCACGAGCAAGAACCAAAUAGAAGUGAAAUAGCACCCAAUUCUGCUGCAAAAGAUCACGAAGAAGAUUCAAAACCAAGCCAAAGAGGGACUAUGGACUUUAUUGAAGCUGACAAUGAGGAUCUAAAUUCAUUUGCAAAUGGCUGCUUACUGUUUCUCUCCCAUAUUAAGGCUAUUUGCAAAGGAAUUUUUGGGAAUAAAGCUGGUAAUGAGCUUAACCAAGAAUCAUCAUUUUCGUCUGGAUCAGUCCAAGAGCGUCUUCAGGCUCUGGAGGUAACAAUACAAAAUCUUCAAUCAGAGAAUGCUAAGUUGCGAGAUCAGAGUCAUCAGCUUUCACAGCAGUAUUUACAGAUGCCAGCAACUAUGCCUAGAUCACCACUGCUUGAAUUAUCUUCUCCAUUUCCAAUGCAGUUACCUGGCCAGAACAUGCAGAUCUUGCAGUACUACCCGCAAAUGGUGCCAGCAGAUCACCAAGGUUAUACUAAUGAGCAAAUAUUGCACUGUCCACAAAUGGCGAUGUCGAAUAUGCCUCCUACAUUUCCUUCACAUCCAUCUUAUCAGAACCAGCAUGUGUCUCAACACUGGCACAUGAUGAUGUCCAGGCCCCUUGGAUUUCCUGCAAACCAGGCUGAUCAUCUACGCCCUUCAUCAUCAUCUCAACAAUAUUUUGACCCUGAUUUUCGUGGAUUAUAGUAGAAGUUACAAAGACAACUAGUAAGCAUCUUUCCUAAUGAGAAGAACAUUUUCUACCUAAACACAUGGCCACAUGCAGACUUAUAUGGUGCAAGUGUCAUUGAUUCUUGAAAUAGAAGAUCAAACUAGAGCUGAGAUGAGUCCAGGUAGUCACAAGUUUCCAGCAACUGUGCUCACCCAAUUCCAAUGUAAACCAUGGUUUUUUUCACUUCAUGUGGAGAUACUCUUCCUCCAAGUAGAAGAACUGAAAAGUCAUGGUUUUUUCACUUCAUGUGGAGUACUUUCCCUUGCCAUACUUGUCCUCUCAAAUCUUGCUUCAAAUGUCCAAACUGUUCUUCUACUUGGAGGAAGAGUAGCAGCCAUAUCUCCUCAUGAAGUAAAAAAUCCAUAGCUUUUUUUGGGGUGGGUGAGCACAGUUACUGGAAACUUGUCGCUACCUGGUUCGGCUGCUAAUCUAAUCGUGUGUGAGCAGGCUCUUCAAUCUCCAUCUAUCAAGUAUACACUCUCUUUCCGGCGAAGUCAUUGUGUGCUAAAGGUCUUGAUAAUCUUGAGAACGAGCUGAAUGAGCUUGAGAAAAGUGAUGCACUGGCAGAGGAGGCAAAAAGAAAGCCUAAGGCCAAGUAAAGAAGAUGGCCACACCUGUUUCUAAAGUUUCCAGACAAGCACCGUAAGCCCCACGCAAGAAUACCAAGAAAGCCAACAAUGCUGAAGAUGUUGACCGAAUCAUCGAAACAUUUAAUUCCGCAAUGGAUUUCAGCAAGCUGGAUUAGUUAGUUACAAGCAUGAAAAAAUCUUCGAAAAGUGUUGUUGGACAUUCAUCAGUCCUUGUGCAUUUUUAGACAAACCUCCGGAGAAAGGGAAACCAUUGGCAGAGCAGCCCCAAAGAAGGCUGCUACUUCUAAAAAGGUGGUAGUCAGUGAUGAUGAUGAUGAUGAAUUACUUGAGUUGAAAGAUUGACUUGAUUGACUUACUGCCUACAAUCUUGACUCAUCUCCUGAUAAACCAGCAGAAGUGCCACAGACUGCUCUAGCCACGAAGAAAGCACCUACCAAAAGGGCUACUGCAAAGAAGAAAACUCUUCCAGAUGCUGAUCUUGAUGAUGAUGAUGACAACAGCAACUUUGAAAUGGAAGCUAGUGCAGGUUCCUCUGGUGGUAAGAAGGGAGGAAAGAAAGGAGCUGCAGCAAAAACAAAGGCAGCCAAGGCUCCUACAGCAGCAGCAACAACGAGGAGAGGAGGUGUAGCAGCCAGCAAACAGGCUCAGUUGCUUGGGCAGAAGUUUUUGACAGAUAUGCUGAAGCCUGCUGCUGAGUGUUCAGGGAUUUCGCCAGAGAAGAAAGGGAGGAAAAUGAGGGAAUUCCCAUUUAACAAGAAGAGUGGUUCUUUGUUGGAAAGGACUAUUGGUAAAGAAGACGAUGAGGAUGAAGAAGCAUCUAAUGAGAGUGGAUAGAAGCCAACUUCCUUUUCUACUUCUGUGGCUACUGAUGAAGCAUCUGAAGUCCCAACAACAAAAGCUAGACCGCUGAGUGUUCCAUUAUUCUUUCCCUUCUGGCAGACUCAAUUUGGGGAGUCUUCUUCCUUCUCAUCUCAGCUUCCAAAACAGAACUAUCUUCAAUGUAAGUUCCUUCUUCCAAAGCGAUUUCCUCGUCCUUUUUUAUGAAACAAAACCCACCCUUCAAUACACGCAUAAGAGAAUUGACAUCAUAUUGACAGUGACACCAACUAGCAUGGCAAGGAGUCCCAAUAGAAAUUUUCCCAAGGAAAUUUUGCUUUGCAUGGCAAUGACCAAGUUCAUGUGUGGAUUUGCCAAUAGGAGGUGCAUGCAGCCAAGCCGAUGUUUGCACUUGAGUCCAAGGCCAGUAAGAAAGGAUGUCAUUAGUAAAUAAUGCACUUUUGACAGAGCAGACAUUAUGCAGAUUCUGCAAAGCACAUCCUUUGCGCCUUGAGACUUCCAUGAAAGAAAUUGACCGACAUACUUGAACAUUUCAUCUUUCUUAAGAUAGAUACCAAUAAACCAUAACAUACAUUCUUUCUCUGCUUCUUGUUGUCUAUCUUGAGAAAGAUGAAAUACACUCUGGUGGUGUUUCUACAUGCUCUGAACUAUAUUUAACCCUCUAAUACAGGAAAAACUAGCCAGUACAAGAUGUAAUAGAUGAGAUUGGUGAUAACAAAAUAAAAACAAAAAACACAUACAUACAUACAGUAUCGAUCCUUUAUUUUAUAGAAAGCAUAUAACUGAUGAUGCUGCUCUUAACUAAGUUCUCAUGGCUUCAACUGAAUUUUAAUGAAGGCAUAGCUUUUUCAUUACCAUCUUAUUUUUCAGAUUCAACAUUGUAGUGUUCAAACUAUUAUAUAAUACUUUUAAUAUUUUAAAAACUAAU